GGUGUCUGAAAUGAGAUGAAAAGAGAGCUCUGGGAAUGGAAUCAAUCAGGUGACCUGGGUUCAAGGCCCUGUGUGAGUAACCCCACUGGGCCUCAGUUUCUUCAAGCGUAAAACAGAGAUAAUGCCAGCCACCCAGAGUGGGACCUAAGUGAUGCAACCUAAGUGAUAGUGCUUUACAAAUGAGAAGAAUUGGCUGACCCCUUCCAGAGGGCAAGGACAGCAGACCACAGGACUGGGGAAUGGAGUCAGACUUUAGGAGGGACUUCCUGGCCUGGGGAAGGUAGAGCUGGGGAGGAGAAUUUUUUGAGGGUGACGGUCAGCAUGGCAUUGAAGUGAGGAAAGCCUGUGCUGUAGCCCCCAGCUGGCUGUCGGGGUCCCUGGGUUCUGCAGGCCAGAGUAGAGCAUCAUUUAUUGGGGGUGUCUUGCCCGGCACACCUCACUGGAUGCAGAGGCAAAAGCAUGUGCUUUGGAGUCAGAGGGUCCAAGGCUGAAAUCUUGGUUCAGUCUCUUCCCUGCUGUGUAGCCUUGGACACAUCAGCUACCUUAGAGCCCUCAGUUUCUUCAUCUGUAAAACGGGCUCAUCAGGCUUUGCUUGUCAGGUUUGCAUGGCUCUUGGCGAGUGUUGAACACGUGAGUUUCCAAGUCCCUUCUCUCUUUAAGUAGCCUCAGUUUCCCCAUUUUCAAAGAACGGGGGUUAGACUAAAUAAAUGAUCUAUCAGAUUCAGUCCUAACAUGCAGAAACAAGCCAUGAUUAUCAUCUAUGUUUUCCAGUCGCGUCCAGUGAGUCAGUCCCCAACAGCAGCUUGACUGAGUGGGAGUUCUCUUAGGUGCUGGAGGAUGAGGAAGGAGGGUGUUACAGAAGCCCUGACCCUCAGAGAGAAGCCUGCCAAUCUGCUUUCUCCCACAGGAGGGCCUUGUUACAGCCCAGAGAUAGCCUCUGACUGAGCCUGGGCGUCACUGCUGUAGACCCCAUUGGCUGGCUAAGGCUGGAGGCAGAUCUGGGACUGGGGCCGGGCCUCGGGAGCUUGGCUACAGCAGCUGGGAGCAGAGAAGCCCCACCCGCUCAAGCCCAUGUGUUUCUCUUCCUGAGGAAGCAAAAAGAAAGACUUAAAAGAUUUAGACCUCAAGGGGAAAAAAGAGAAGAGAAUUGGAACCCAAAUCCACAUCUGGCCUGACAAUAUGUCUAACCCUAAGCUCUCUGCCCACCGAGGUGCAGGGUUGGAGGGCGAGGGGGCGGGGGGGAGGGCGGUGCGCCAGGGGCGGGAGAGCAGCUGGUUGCUCCCUCCGAGCUGCCUUUCUGGUGACAUCACUGACAGCAGAGGCGGCGCCCACGUGGGGCAGGGCUGACCGCAUCUGGAUCCACCCAGAGUGAGGAAGGAGAAAGGAUGGGGCUUCUGAAGGGAGCCGCGGUUCCUGCUUUGACUCAGCUGGGAACCUCUCAGGACCUCUUCUCCCCUAUUGUGAGUAAGCCUCCUCUGCGGGGAAAGGGUGAAGAGGCUGCUCUCCAGCCCGGCUGCUGGCAGCUGGUUUCCCUGCUCUCCCACUGAUUGGUGAUGUUCUCAUCUGUUAAAUCGGAAGAAGAGCAUUUGCUUCAUAGGAUCUCUGGGAAGAUUCAAAGAGACAAUGCAGGGACCACUAAGGCCAAGAGACCUCAAGCCACAUACCCAGUGGAAGAGCCAGGAUGCAUAUUCACGGGCUGGCCCCAGAGUCUGUGUUCUUAACCACUACCUUAUGUAUAAAUAAAUCCCUGUGGAUAUAUUGUGUUGCUGUGCUCAAAAUGCUCUAGUGAUGGGAAUCCAUGAUUUAAAAGUGUGGGGACUACCGCCCUG